rnacentral:rRNA from 1 species
AACGGCCGUACCAUGCUGAAUAUACCGGUUCUCGUUAGAUCACCGAAGUCAAGCAUCAUUGGGCGCGGUCAGUACUUGGGUGGGUGACACCCGGGAACACUGCGUGCCGUU